CAUUAUGUGGAAUUCUUAUGGUCAUGACCAUCAUGGGGUGAAAAUGUUUCACCAUGACAGCCCUGAUAACAUGGUCAGUGUUUGUUUAUAAUAAAUCUCACAGAUUUUUCAGCUCACUUUUUUUUGAAAACUGAAAACUGUCUCCACUUGUCACAA